rnacentral:rRNA from 1 species
GAUGAACGCUGGCGGCGUGCCUAAAACAUGCAAGUCGAGCGGUAAGGCCCCUUCGGGGGUACACGAGCGGCGGACGGGUGAGUAACACGUGGGAAUCUACCCCAAACUGAGGGAUAAGCACCGGAAACGGUGUCUAAUACCGCAUAUGGUCUUCGGAUUAAAGCUUCGGCGGUUUGGGAAGAGCCCGCGUAAGAUUAGCUAGUUGGUGAGGUAAAGGCUUACCAAGGCGACGAUCUUUAGCUGGUUUGAGAGGAUGAUCAGCCACACUGGAACUGAGACACGGUCCAGACUCCUACGGGAGGCAGCAGUUAGGAAUUUUCCACAAUGGGCGAAAGCCUGAUGGAGCAACGCCGCGUGCAGGAUGAAUGCCUUCGGGUUGUAAACUGCUUUUAUGUGCGAAGAAUAUGACGGUAACACAUGAAUAAGGAUCGGCUAACUCCGUGCCAGCCGCCGCGGUAA